GCUUUUUGUUCUUCCUUAUACUGGAGUGCGUGUUUGAUACAUGAGAGAUUGGACAAACUCAUAUUGGUACUACUGGAUCCGGUUCUUGAUCAGCUGGCACCACUAACAUGUAAUCUUCAGUUGCAACUUGUGGCGAAACCAACCUCGCCACUGUGAACUGGAGAAGCCUGGUUGCUCGCCUGCUCCCUUUGGACUAUGGCC